rnacentral:tRNA from 1 species
GGUACUGUACUUUAAUUUAAAAGGCUUGAAUUGCAUAUAGGUAAUGGGCUAGAUAAUGGCCCCAGUGCUU